rnacentral:rRNA from 1 species
AUACGUAGGGUGCGAGCGUUGUCCGGAAUUACUGGGCGUAAAGAGCUCGUAGGUGGUUUGUCGCGUCGUCUGUGAAAUUCCGGGGCUUGACUCCGGGCGUGCAGGCGAUACGGGCAUAACUUGAGUACUGUAGGGGAGACUGGAAUUCCUGGUGUAGCGGUGAAAUGCGCAGAUAUCAGGAGGAACACCGGUGGCGAAGGGGGGUCUCUGGGCAGUAACUGACGCUGAGGAGCGAAAGCAUGGGUAGCGAACAGGAUUAGAUACCCUGGUAGUCCAUGCCGUAAACGGUGGGCGCUAGGUGUAGGGGUCUUCCACGACUUCUGUGCCGUAGCUAACGCAUUAAGCGCCCCGCCUGGGGAGUACGGCCGCAAGGCUAAAACUCAAAUGAAUUGACGGGG